rnacentral:sRNA from 1 species
UCACAUCACUUAUUACUUUUAGCGUCGCUGGCUUGUUAACCAAUAUAUCCUAAAAAUUAGGGUUCCAGUUAUCCGAGCUAUAAAAUUUCUGUUUGCGGGCCAAAGCACAAGGACUGCCCCACACAAAUAUGAUGGAUUGAACAGGGAUUUGAUUUAUCCAGGUCUCCCACCUCCCCUCGAGGCUCCAUGCAGAGCAACCUGCAACCCAACUCCCAAAACUUUCCAACUCAACCCUUCUCGUGCCUGCCCUUCAAACCAUCCGUACUUAUCAAGCCGUGGUUCUAUCGUAGCAGUACCAAUUUCGAGAUGUCCGCUUUUGAAACCAGAUGUUAGCCAUUGUCAUUCCCAGCAUAUAAUACAAUUCAUUUUUGUACAAAAUGCAAACAGCCACACUUACUGACACCAAGCAAAUGUCUUUGGUUUUGUCACAACAAUCCACCAACCUGCAGUCAGUCCCACGGAGAGCACAUUUUCUGUCGUCUAACUCUCGAGGGGCCGGUUGAGGGUAUGCCAUGACUGACGUCGUGGUGAUGCCUGCAAAGAUAACAAGAUUAAGGAAGAGCUUCAUUUUUUAUCUGGGAUAGGUAACUUAAAAAUUAUCCGUUAGUAUAUUUUGCUGGCUGCUGGAUCAAACAUGUGCACUUACUUUCGUAUGGUGUCAAGACUAAGGAGUUUCGGUCUCAAUGUAGGUGAAAGAUACCUUUAUGAGAUAAAUAUUGAUUGCGGGCUCGUCACCUUUUUAUUUUCAAUUUAUACUGUGCUUCCAAGAGUCUCUUGUCAUUGAGAAAUGCAAGUGUUAACGCAAAAUCAAUCACAUCUGCGCUGUGUACAUUUCUCUUUGUCCAGGUUCACCAGCAAUGCAUCAUAACAACAUGGACAUGUAUGUAAAGUACUUGUACUGUCCAAUACAAUAUGCAGGUUUUCAGCUCAAAGUUUUAUCGUGACACCAUAGCGAGGGAUGACUUUUCUCUCGAGUCUUGGUUCUACACGAUUAGGCAUUUGAACAGGGUAUUUUUCCUAGCGGGUUACUUCUCCGUUCUGCUCUGGCAAUGACAAAACAGAAUUAUCAUAGGUUCUCAGCUCCUUCCUUUAUAUUUACGUC